AGUCAUUUUUAGUAUAUGUUUUUGGAUCGAUCAAACAAAAAGCCAGCACCACAAAUUUACUGACUUUUUCAAUUGAAUCCCUAGUCUUGAAGGCCAAGCAAUUGAAUUUCGUGUUUUGGUCCCCCGCAAAGCUUAAAUCCCCCUCUGUUUUUCUCAUUUUCUUGACUACUACUCUAUUUUCAGAAUUUCCAAUUGAAGUUUAAGCUAUGGAAUUCAUCCCCUCAAAAUCUAAGCAAAAUCAAAGGCUGCCUCCCCAAAGAGGACAGAUCAAGAUGAAGAUACUGAAAUUUCUAGUAAAAUCAGAGGUUGGACUUGUGUCUGUAGGGAUUGAGUCAGGAAGAUCAAAUCAAAGGCUACUUCCUAAAAGGGGACAGAUCAAGAUGAAGAUACUGAAAUCUCUCCUAAAAUGAGCGAUUGGAUUUGUAUCAGUAGCCAGGUGAGUCUGGAAGCUCAAAUUCCACAACCCCACAUCAAGCUCUAAGCUGCUACAGCUCAGGGAAUGAUUCUAAUUGAUGAAAUUCUUCGAACUUUACUCAGUGUUCUUUAUUUGUACAGUAGAGUAUUGUAUAUUGGUGAAUUCUGUUGAGGACCAUCUUUCAAUUGAUCUUUCGCUUAGACAAUCCCAAUCCCAAUUCCAAUAGUAAUGAUAUGCUGUUCUUACUCGUGAAUUUCAGUAGUUAAAAACCAUCAAAUUGAAAUUUCUUCUCUCAGUGUACAAAUACGGAUAUCAGCUUAUACAGUACAUCAGAUAGUAAUGUCCAAGAAAGUGAAAAAGUACCAAAAACUUAAUACAAUCAAAAUUAAAGCAUUACUGCACAGACUGCUGAUCAGAAUUGGCCCGAGUUGGAGUUCGAUGUGGAGUUUGAGUAAUUCUUUUUCCCAAAUCCAUCACCCACUGACCUGACUCCACUAGCUGAUUUCAACAGAGUCCUGACUAUCCUAAUCUUCACCUCUCCUCUCCUUGGAGGAAGAAGAGCACUCUGUUUUGGUUCCAUCUUCUUCUUCUUCCUUGCUUGUUUUCACAGAACAGGAUAGAGUUCAAUGGGAUAGACAGGGUGCGUGUUUGUGUUUGUGUUUGUGUGUGUGUGAAAGUUCUCAAAGGUAAUAUAUUUAUG
rnacentral:lncRNA from 1 species